GAGGGUGUAGCUCAGUAGUAGAGUACAUGCCUAGCAUGCACAAGGUCCUGGGUUGAAUCCCCAGUAACUCCA
rnacentral:tRNA from 1 species